CAAUAACAACCGUACAAUAACAAUUGGUGUUAUAAUUAUAUAAUCCACUAGCUUUUAGAGAAGCAAAUAACUUAAAUUCCAAAUGCGGAGUGAAAUAAGAACGGAAUGAGCUUUGUGUUAGACUGCUAUCCAACUCCGUAAUUAUAAGCUAAUUGGUUUCCAAACAGUGUAUAGUCUGAGCCAAAGCUUCGGCCCGCCAUGAGUGUGAGGCCCAACAGCUGAUAUCAAUUAUCAAGUCGUUUGAAUAGUCCCACAUCGGCUAAAGUACUCAUAAGUCUCAGGUUUUUAUACUGUUUGCUUCAAUGAUCAAUCGUCUCUUCGGAGACAUCCGAUAAAAUUGGAACGAUACAGAGAAGAUUAGCAUGGCCCCUGCGCAAGGAUGACACGCACAAAUCGAGAAAUGGUCCAAAUUUUUUUGGCGAUUCUGGGUUCAGUCUCCUUUUCGCCCUGCAUCAGUUACAACUUUCUUCAGGGAGAAAAAUAACUGUGGUUGUCUUGGAUCAGAUUGAAAGAAGCUUCUUGGAGGGUGUUUAACGUUACAUUAACAGAGCCAACAUUUGCGUUGACAAAGAACAAUCAGAACAGGGUUAUGGCCAACCUACACGCGUAAUCUCUUCGUGGUUACCAUGUAACUCUAUCAAUGAAGCUUCUUGAUCACCAGAACCAUCAUGGGUGCAGUUGUUCUCUUUUUCACUGCGGGUGUUCGCGUAUUUCUUGAUACAUCAAUAUCGGUCCCUACCUGGCAACAUGAGCUGCUUUGGUAGAACACCUGCAUUAAUUGAAGGAGAGCUCUGACUAAGCUUUACACUUUACGAUGAAUGAUACGCUGAGUUUUGCCGAAUUCCUGUUCAGAUAGAUGUACGUAUCAAAGCUAUGUUCUAAUCGAUUGUUGUUUUAGAUAAAAGCUUCGAGUGGUUCAGAUUCUCUGGAAACAUAAACCUUCUUUUGAGGGGAAAUGUAUUUAAAUUGGCAAGUGUUAGCAACCAUAUUUCUAUUUCUGA